UACGUAGGGGGCAAGCGUUGUCCGGAUUUAUUGGGCGUAAAGGGCGCGUAGGCGGUGCGGUAAGUCACCUGUGAAAGUCGGGGGCUCAACCCUCGAAUGCCGGUGGAUACUGUCGGGCUAGAGUGCGGAAGAGGCGAGUGGAAUUCUGGUGUAGCGGUGAAAUGCGCAGAUAUCAGGAGGAACACCUAUUGCGAAGGCAGCUCGCUGGGACGUAACUGACGCUGAGACGCGAAAGCGUGGGGAGCAAACAGG
rnacentral:rRNA from 1 species